AACGAACGCUGGCGGCAGGCUUAACACAUGCAAGUCGAACGCCCCGCAAGGGGAGUGGCAGACGGGUGAGUAACGCGUGGGAAUCUACCCAGUUCUACGGAACAACAGUUGGAAACGACUGCUAAUACCGUAUACGCCCUACGGGGGAAAGAUUUAUCGGAAUUGGAUGAGCCCGCGUAAGAUUCGCUAGUUGGUGGGGUAAUGGCCUACCAAGGCGACGAUCUUUAUCUGGUCUGAGAGGAUGAUCAGCCACACUGGGACUGAGACACGGCCCAGACUCCUACGGGAGGCAGCAGUGGGGAAUAUUGGACAAUGGGCGCAAGCCUGAUCCAGCCAUGCCGCGUGAGUGAUGAAGGCCUUAGGGUUGUAAAGCUCUUUCACCGAUGAAGAUAAUGACGGUAGUCGGAGAAGAAGCCCCGGCUAACUUCGUGCCAGCAGCCGCGGUAAAAC
rnacentral:rRNA from 1 species